ACAAGAAGCAUUCCCGUCUUUCCUGGAGAGAGCAAAGAUGAAAGAUGGGCUGCUAAUGGCAAGGAACUGGGGUGGUGGACGUGAAUCCCACAAUUCCUUGGCUUUUUAUGCCUGAAGAUGACUAAAUAAUUUGAUGCACAGACCCUGACCACCAUUCUAAUGAGCUCUGGUGAAGAAAUUGAAGCCUGAAGAACCGACGUGAGUUGUCACUAAGUUUGCAUGUAGGAUAUCUCCCCCUCAUCCCUCCAGAUUAUGAUCUUCUCCAUCCUGCUCUACUUCACCAGGAGCCAACAUCCACGUUUGACACUGACAGAGUUCAGUCCCCAUAACAGCUCCAGCUUCAUUGUUCUAGUGAGGAUUAGAUGGGGUGAUGCACACAGACUGCUCACAGCCGUACUGACUCGCGACUUGAAGCAAAAUACUGCCUGCUGAGAUCACUGAAGGAGCAUGGGAAUAAAAGGACAUUGAUUGGAAUUCCAGCUGAAACACUUACAAGUUUUGGACCUUUAGCAAUUUACUUCACCCACAUGAAGUUUUUUUCUUCAU